rnacentral:rRNA from 1 species
GCGUUGUUCGGAAUUACUGGGCGUAAAGCGCACGUAGGCGGACUUUUAAGUCUGGGGUGAAAGCCCGGAGCUCAACUCCGGAACUGCCUUGGAUACUGGAAGUCUUGAGGAUGGAAGAGGUAAGUGGAAUACCGAGUGUAGAGGUGAAAUUCGUAGAUAUUCGGUGGAACACCAGUGGCGAAGGCGACUUACUGGUCCAUUUCUGACGCUGAGGUGCGAAGGUGUGGGGAGCAAACAGGAUUAGAUACCCUGGUAGUCCACACCGUAAACGAUGAGAGCUAGUUGUCGGCAGGUUUACCUGUCGGUGACGCAGCUAACGCAUUAAGCUCUCCGCCUGGGGAGUACGGCCGCAAGGUUAAAACUCAAAGAAAUUGACGGGGGCCCGCACAAGCGGUGGAGCAUGUGGUUUAGUUCGAAGCAACGCGCAGAACCUUACCCACGUUUGACAUGCCCGGCGGUGAACAGAGAUGGGAUCCAUUCCUUCGGGACCGGUGCACAGGUGCUGCAUGGCUGUCGUCAGCUCGUGUCGUGAGAUGUUGGGUUAAGUCCCGCAACGAGCGCAACCCUCACCCUUAGUUGCUAACAGGUUUGGCUGAGAACUCUAAGGGAACUGCCCGUGGCAAGCGGGAGGAAGGUGGGGAUGACGUCAAGUCCUCAUGGCCCUUACGCGUGGGGCUACACACGUGCUACAAUGGCAGUGACAAUGGGAUAAUCCCAAAAAGCUGUCUCAGUUCGAGUUGGGGUCUGCAACUCGACCCCAUGAAGUUGGAAUCGCUAGUAAUCGUGGAUCAGCAUGCCACGGUGAUACGUUCCCGGGCCUUGUACACACCGCCCGUCACACCAUGGGAGUUGGAUUUACCCGAAGGUGGUGCGCUAACCGUAAGGAGGC